rnacentral:rRNA from 1 species
UUAGGAAUAUUGGGCAAUGGAGGAAACUCUGACCCAGCAACGCCGCGUGAAGGAAGAAGGUUUUCGGACUGUAAACUUCUGAUCUGAGGGAAAAAGAAAGUGAUGGUACCUCAGGAGAAAGCCACGGCUAACUACGUGCCAGCAGCCGCGGUAAUACGUAGGUGGCGAGCGUUGUCCGGAAUGACUGGGCGUAAAGGGAGCGUAGGUUGCGAUUUAAGUUAGAUGUGAAAGCCCGUGGCUCAACCACGGAACUGCAUUUAAAACUGGGUUGCUAGAGUACAGGAGGGGUAAGCGGAAUUUCUAGUGUAGCGGUGGAAUGCUUAGAUAUUAGGAAGAACACCAGAGGCGAAGGCGGCUUACUGGACUGCAACUGACACUGAGGCUCGAAAGCGUGGGGAGCAAACAGG